ACGAACGCUGGCGGCGUGCUUAACACCUGCAAGUCGUGCGGUAAGGCCCCUUCGGGGGUCCCCGAGCGGCGAACGGGUGAGUAACACGUGAGCAACCUGCCCUUCACUUUGGGAUAACUGCCGGAAACGGUGGCUAAUACCGGAUAUGACUUCCUCACGCAUGUGGGGUGGUGGAAAGCCUUCGGGUGGUGGGGGAUGGGCUCGCGGUCUAUCAGCUUGUUGGUGGGGUGAUGGCCUACCAAGGCUUCGACGGGUAGCCGGCCUGAGAGGGUGACCGGCCACACUGGGACUGAGACACGGCCCAGACUCCUACGGGAGGCAGCAGUGGGGAAUAUUGGACAAUGGGCGAAAGCCUGAUCCAGCAACGCCGCGUGAGGGAUGACGGCCUUCGGGUUGUAAACCUCUUUCGCCUGCGACGAAGCGAGAGUGACGGUAGCAGGUAAAGAAGCACCGGCCAACUACGUG
rnacentral:rRNA from 1 species